rnacentral:rRNA from 1 species
AUGUCUGCUCUUCUGCUUCCUUUAGGUACAAUCCAGGCCAUCGAUAGUCGCCGUCGGGCUUUCUUCUGGGCAGGACAGGAUACGAUCUCUGGGGGUCAGUGUAAAGUUGCGUGGGAUGCGGUCUGUGCUCCCUUCUCUCGUGGGGGUCUUGGGUUUCUGUCGUUGCAUCAAUUCAACCGGUGUCUUCUCCUCAAACAACUGCUCAAAAUUCACUCACACUGCAUAACCUCCGAGCCAAACCACCUGGCCUCCACCUCCGGAUGGAGCCACCACCGUGACCUUGGCGACCCAACGCGUCUUAAUACUGUUAUCCGGCGCGACAUGGCAAAGGGUCUUCCUCUGCUCCGUGCUAUCACCAGGGUAAUCCCUGGCGAUGGUCGUUCCACAACAUUCUGGCUAGACUUAUGGAUCCCUAACCACACCACCACUCUAGCAGUUCAGUUCCCGGCCAUUUUUUCCCAUACUCUUAGACCGAACGCUUCCCUUGCAGCUGUUCUAGCCCACCCACAACUAAACACCUACCUCGCCCCACGACUCUCGCAUGCUGCAGAGAGAGACCUCGAAUCUAUCCGCUCUAUCCUCGCCAUGUUUUCCUUGAAUGAACAGGUACCUGACCGGAGAAUCAGCAGGCUCGAAGGUAAACCUCUGACCACGUCCUUCGCAUAUGGGGCAAUAUGGAUGGACCGAUCGGUGGAUCCGAUGGCGCCUGCAAUCUAG